UUGCUGAAUGACUAAAAGCCCACCCCAAGGAACAAAGAAAAAUCUCUCCUUUCACACACUUCCCAGGGCCUGCUCAGUGCCUUGCUCUGGAAACAGAGCUUGGUGAGCUUCCUGGGGAGGGUCUCUGCCUAGGGCACCUUCAGCUCAGGUGGUGGGUGAGCCGGGCUGGGGGUGGGAGCCCCCGCCCUCACCACUGCUCCUGCCCCCACCCCCGCGGCUCCGUCUGUGUGCAGUGCUGAUCCUGGUCGGCGUGGGACUGGAGGCGACCCCCUCUCCAGGUGUCUCCAGCGCCAUCUUCUUCGUGCCGGGCUUCCUGUUGUUGGUGCCUGGAGUCUAUCACGUGAUCUUCAUCUACUGCGCGGUCAAGGGCCACCGGGGCUUCCAGUUCUUCUACCUGCCCUACUUCGAGAAGUGAUCGCGGCGCAGCGUGGACCCCUUGCGCCCAUGGGGGCGCCCCUCUUGCCCUGUUCCGUUCCCCUCAUCUCAAGGGAAGAGGCCCUCCAGGACCCUCGAAACCCCAGCCCCUAGGGAGUUUGCUCAGGAAGUUCGGGGCAUGCAGGCCUGG
rnacentral:lncRNA from 1 species